rnacentral:rRNA from 1 species
GUGGGGAAUCUUGCGCAAUGGGCGAAAGCCUGACGCAGCCAUGCCGCGUGAAUGAUGAAGGUCUUAGGAUUGUAAAAUUCUUUCACCGGGGACGAUAAUGACGGUACCCGGAGAAGAAGCCCCGACUAACUUCGUGCCAGCAGCCGCGGUAAUACGAAGGGGGCUAGCGUUGCUCGGAAUUACUGGGCGUAAAGGGCGCGUAGGCGGACAGUUUAGUCAGAGGUGAAAGCCCAGGGCUCAACCUUGGAAUUGCCUUUGAUACUGGCUGUCUUGAGUACGGGAGAGGUGAGUGGAACUCCGAGUGUAGAGGUGAAAUUCGUAGAUAUUCGGAAGAACACCAGUGGCGAAGGCGACUCACUGGCCCGUUACUGACGCUGAGGCGCGAAAGCGUGGGGAGCAAACAGGAUUAGAAACCCCUGUAGUCC